GAACGCCCCUGUAAUUGAUGUGAACACAGAUGAUGAGGUUGUUCAGUUUAUUGAUAAAUAUGUUUCAUGUGAACUACCUAAUAACACUGAUGAUUUACAUGAGGUUGUUUCUUCAGUGCAGCAGCAUUCAAAGCGACACUCCAAAACUUGUAAAAAAGGUGGAAAACAGUGCCGCUUCAAUUUUCCGAAACCAGUGUCCGCUAGGACUUUCAUUUCCAGGGCGUAUAAGGAGGUUGAGAUGGAGUGCGUGUGUCAACGCAACGUCCAUAACGUGGUAGAACAGUGCACUUGUGGCAAGGAAGAAAAUGAAAAGAAGCAGAAGCAGGAAGGGGAAUUCGCUGUUAAGGUUUUUGAAUUAAUAGCUAAAGCGUUGUCAGACGAGAACUGCACAAUUCAAACUGCAAAUGAGCUAUUUGCGAGUAUAGGUAUACGACAGGAGACAUUUGAGGCAGCAUACAGGAGGUUAGGGAAAAAGACAGAGGUGAUAAUGCGACGCCAGGUUUGUGAUACGUGGAUCAACCCACAUUCCAAGGCUCUGUUGAAAGCUUGGAAUGCAAACAUGGACAUCCAGUAUGUGACCGAUGCUUAUGCUUGUGUAGUCUACAUCAUUUCCUACAUCUCUAAAGCAGAGAGAGAGAUGGGAUUGAUGUUGGCAAAUGCACAGCGGGAAGCAUCCAAAGAAGACAACCUCAGUGCCAAGCAGGCUUUGAAAAAGCUAGGCAGUGUUUACCUUCACAACCGAGAUGUUGGAGCUCAGGAGGCAGUCUACAAGCUCAGCAACAUGCACUUAAAAGAGUGCUCUCGGAAGGUGGUUUUUGUACCAACAGGUGACAAUGUUGUCAGGAUCAGCAAGCCAUUGACUGUGUUAAAAGACA